rnacentral:rRNA from 1 species
UUUAAUGUUUGAUGUUCUAACGUGGACCCGUGAUCCGGGUUGCGGACAGUGUCUGGUGGGUAGUUUGACUGGGGCGGUCUCCUCCUAAAGAGUAACGGAGGAGCACGAAGGUUGGCUAAUCCUGGUCGGACAUCAGGAGGUUAGUGCAAUGGCAUAAGCCAGCUUGACUGCGAGCGUGACGGCGCGAGCAGGUGCGAAAGCAGGUCAUAGUGAUCCGGUGGUUCUGAAUGGAAGGGCCAUCGCUCAACGGAUAAAAGGUACUCCGGGGAUAACAGGCUGAUACCGCCCAAGAGUUCAUAUCGACGGCGGUGUUUGGCACCUCGAUGUCGGCUCAUCACAUCCUGGGGCUGAAGUAGGUCCCAAGGGUAUGGCUGUUCGCCAUUUAAAGUGGUACGCGAGCUGGGUUUAGAACGUCGUGAGACAGUUCGGUCCCUAUCUGCCGUGGGCGCUGGAGAACUGAGGGGGGCUGCUCCUAGUACGAGAGGACCGGAGUGGACGCAUCACUGGUGUUCGGGUUGUCAUGCCAAUGGCACUGCCCGGUAGCUAAAUGCGGAAGAGAUAAGUGCUGAAAGCAUCUAAGCACGAAACUUGCCCCGAGAUGAGUUCUCCCUGAGACUUA